UCUUUAAAGUGAACUCUUAAAGGAAAACGCCAACUUAUUGGGAGUUAAGCUUAUUCACUGUAUCCCCCAGAGUCAGAUAAGUUUGCACCCUUCUCAUCUCCGUGCAUGUUGUAACUCUGUCUGACGCACCCACCGCUAGCCUAGCUCACCACAGAUCCUGGAGGUAACCGGCUCCA